rnacentral:rRNA from 1 species
GUGCCAGCAGCCGCGGUAAUACGUAGGGUGCGAGCGUUGUCCGGAAUUACUGGGCGUAAAGAGCUCGUAGGUGGUUUGUCGCGUCGUUUGUGGAAUACCGCAGCUUAACUGCGGGGUUGCAGGCGAUACGGGCAUAACUAGAGUGCUGUAGGGGAGACUGGAAUUCCUGGUGUAGCGGUGAAAUGCGCAGAUAUCAGGAGGAACACCGAUGGCGAAGGCAGGUCUCUGGGCAGUAACUGACGCUGAGGAGCGAAAGCAUGGGUAGCGAACAGGAUUAGAUACCCUGGUAGUCCAUGCCGUAAACGGUGGGCGCUAGGUGUAGGGGGCUUCCACGUCUUCUGUGCCGUAGCUAACGCAUUAAGCGCCCCGCCUGGGGAGUACGGCCGCAAGGCUAAAACUCAAAGGAAUUGACGGGGGCCCGCACAAGCGGCGGAGCAUGUGGAUUAAUUCGAUGCAACGCGAAGAACCUUACCUGGGCUUGACAUACACCAGAUAGGGCCAGAGAUGGUCUUUCCCUUUGUGGUUGGUGUACAGGUGGUGCAUGGUUGUCGUCAGCUCGUGUCGUGAGAUGUUGGGUUAAGUCCCGCAACGAGCGCAACCCUUGUCUUAUGUUGCCAGCACGUUAUGGUGGGGACUCGUGAGAGACUGCCGGGGUUAACUCGGAGGAAGGUGGGGAUGACGUCAAAUCAUCAUGCCCCUUAUGUCCAGGGCUUCACACAUGCUACAAUGGUCGGUACAACGCGUCUGCGAGACUGUGAGGUGGAGCGAAUCGCUGAAAGCCGGCCUUAGUUCGGAUUGGGGUCUGCAACUCGACCCCAUGAAGUCGGAGUCGCUAGUAAUCGCAGAUCAGCAACGCUGCGGUGAAUACGUUCCCGGGCCUUGUACACACCGCCCGUCACGUCAUGAAAGUUGGUAACACCCGAAGCCAGUGGCCCAAACUUGUUAGGGAGCUGUCGAAGGUGGGAUUGGCGAUUGGGACGAAGUCGUAACAAGGUA